UGAUCAGGCAGCUACCCCCACCCACUCACCACCACCUUUAGAUUGUGCAUGUGUACUUAAUGUUGUGACUGGUAAAUUGAGCUGGUUCUAAAUUUAAUCAAUUAAUAGAGCAAAAGGACAUUCUUCAGUUUUAAACUCAGGUAUGAGUGAUUUCAGAAGGAGCUUUUGACCGAACAAUCACACUAUCUUUGUACGCAAUCUAUUGGUAUCCAGUACAAGACCACGGGCUGGAUGGUUAAUUGGGAUGCCCAAUAUUUAUCAGACCAUAUAAAUAAAACAAAACAAACACACUUUAAAAGCAAAAGUCCCUUGUUUAAGUCGGGGAUGUAAACGGCAGCCAAAAGUGUAGGUAAUUAGGAGAAGUUGCAGCUUAAUUGGCAUUGCGUCUGUUCCCAUUGAUGUAAUUAUUGCAGGUUAAAGGCAGUACGGAACAGGCGUGAUUUUUUUUAAUUAAAAAAUUUGAAAAUAGAGGGGUCAACAGUAUCACGGAUGUUUGGGAGAGGAUUCCAAAGGGUGAGGGUGGCAACAAAGGAUGCUCUGUCACCCGAAGUACGAUAUCUGGUCCUUGGGAUGAUCAGGAAGUUAUUGUCAGAGGAAAAGAGGGUCCACAAAGUGGUGUAGGGGUAGAACGAGUAUAUAAGCUAGGUGGGGGCCUGGGUAUGGAGGGCUUUAUGGGUGAGUGGGAGAAUUUUGAAUUUGAUGCAGUAAGGGGUUGGCACCCAAUGAAGGUUCUUGAGGAUAGACAUGAUGUGGUCACGAUAACUUGUGUGGAGUCAGUGCGAGGUGUGAUAAAGGCAAAGAUGAGGAUUUCUGCUGCAAGGAAAGAGAGAGAAGGGCAAAGGCAGGCAAUAUUCUUCAGGUGAUAUAAAGCUGUUUUUGUCACUUCUUGAAUGUGUUGGGAGAAGGUAAGAUUGUUUGUUGUCCAUGAUAAGUCCAAGGUUCCGACAGUGGUGUGAGAAUGAAAGGGUCUUGCGUUGCUGAGGUGAGGGUUUAAUUCUCAGCUGUUAUUUCACUGCUUUUUAUAAAUGUUCUAAGUUUGUACCAUGGUGCCAUUUCCUAUUUUUUGUCUUCCUUUAAAAUGAUAGAAAAUAACUGACCUGUUUUGUCAACCGUUGCUUUUUGCAAAGUUGUUGUUAAAGUAAAACAUUUUGCAAAUUUCUCUUCAGUCACUGUCUUCGCAUUAUGUGAAAUUGAAAUUGUGAAAUGCUAACUGAGACAACAGUACAUCAGCAAAUAUGGUCAUGCUGUACCGAACCCAAAAAAGUGCGACCAAAUCGAUGCUGGUGCCACCAGCUGAAAUAGUGUACAGUCCUGCUGAUAGAGGUGGUGGGGGCUUGUUUAACUCAUUCACUCCCAAAGACGUUUUUAUACGUCUUUUCAAACUUGGUCCAGAAUUGGCUGGUACUGAAUGAGUUAUGGUGGUACUGAGUGUGGCUGAGAAGUUUUGGGGUUUGAUGGCUGCAAUGUUCAUGAAGGAUAUGACGUGUUUUUCUCUUGGAAUGGAGGUGGUAAGGUGGAUGCAAAAAAUGAUUGCCAGGUGGUCAGAGAUGUCGGGGCAGAACUUGAGACUGGUGAGUUGUUUCAUGGUGAGACCGGUGGAGCAGACGAGAAUAAGUGAAAGUGUUAACAGUCGAGGUGGUCCAGGAAGUUAGAGGCGUGUUUGCAGUUUUUGUUGUCAAUAUUACACCAUUCAUUUGUCCUCGAACCAUCAGAGAUUAAAACCUCUCUGAGUAUCAACCAAAAUGCAAAAUUUCAGCUUUUGUGAAGGCAGAAUAUAUGAUUGUGCAAAUGGUCAAAAUGUGACUGAUCGAUUGUAUG